GAUCUUCAACAUCGAAAACUAAAAGCAAAAGACAGCAACAAAACCCCACGAGUCAAGUAGGUCAUUGGUGUCUGCUGCUCUUAAGCUCUUGUUCCAGCCUGUCCCAGUCUCCAGCAGGUACAACUCUCUAGAGAGAGCCACAUCUGGCCAGGACCAGACAGGACCACUCUGUGUGGUAGUCCUAAGUUAGAGGACAUUCGGGGAACUUGUUUCCACGGUUUUGUUCUUUUUAUGAAAGAGCUUUUGCUUUGCCCAGCCUUUGUUUGGGGAGUUCAGCUAAUAAAGGGGCCAUUUUGCUGGAAUGAAUUACUGAUGAAAGUCCUGCUGGGAUUGGCAGGAGGACGGCCCUCUGGCCUCUCUUCAGCAAGGCCGCCAAGACUGUGAAGUCUGCUGUGGGAUUCGCAGAGGUACAGUACCAUCAAAUGCUCCAGGAAGCUCCACUCACUUGCUUUAAGUUAAAACAGUAAAGAAGUCAAUAUUUUAGCAAAUCUAAGAUUAUGAGUUUGGCCCCUUGUGUCUUCAACGAUCCAAGGUUAAGCAAUAUUGCACCAGCUAAGCAAAAAUAAAUCAGGACACCUCAAGAAAG
ensembl:antisense Lrrc8dos leucine rich repeat containing 8D, opposite strand